rnacentral:rRNA from 1 species
ACGGGAGGCAGCAGUGGGGAAUAUUGCACAAUGGGGGAAACCCUGAUGCAGCGACGCCGCGUGGGUGAUGAAGUAUUUCGGUACGUAAAGCCCUAUCAGCAGGGAAGAUAAUGACGGUACCUGACUAAGAAGCUCCGGCUAAAUACGUGCCAGCAGCCGCGGCAAUACGUAUGGAGCAGGCGUUAUCCGGAUUUACUGGGUGUAAGGGAGCGCAGGCGGUUUUGUAAGUUGGGUGUGAAAGCCCGGGGCUCAACCCCGGGACUGCACCCAAAACUGCAGGACUAGAGUGUCGGAGGGGCAAGCGGAAUUCCUAGUGGAGCGGUGAAAUGCGUAGAUAUUAGGAGGAACACCGGUGGCGAAGGCGGCUUGCUGGACGACAACUGACGCUGAGGCUCGAAAGCGUGGGGAGCAAACAGGAUUAGAUACCCUGGUA